rnacentral:rRNA from 1 species
GAUGAACGCUGACAGAAUGCUUAACACAUGCAAGUCAACUUGAACUUCGGUUUGGGUGGCGGACGGGUGAGUAACGCGUAAAGAACUUGCCUCACAGAUAGGGACAACAUUUGGAAACGAAUGCUAAUACCUGAUAUUAUGAUUAUAUGGCAUCGUAUAAUUAUGAAAGCUAUAUGCGCUGUGAGAGAGCUUUGCGUCCCAUUAGCUAGUUGGAGAGGUAACGGCUCACCAAGGCGAUGAUGGGUAGCCGGCCUGAGAGGGUGAUCGGCCACAAGGGGACGGAGACACGGCCCUUCCUCCUACGGGAGGAAGCAGUGGGGAAUAUUGGACAAUGGACCAAGAGUCUGAUCCAGCAAUUCUGUGUGCACGAUGAAGUUUUGCGGAAUGUAAAGUGCUUUCAGUUGGGAAGAAAAAAAUGACGGUACCAACAGAAGAAGUGACGGCUAAAUACGUG